UCACAAUUUUCCGACGGGUCUUCACAGUAGGGGGGGCAUGCCCCCCCCGGCCACGGCGCCACUGUGGCUUUCUAAUAUAAACACUUUGACAUUGCUGUGGCUCUUCAGUGUUCGAUUUAUUUUGCUGCGAUUGAUUCUGAUGGAUGUGAAGGAGUGUGUGGGUUUUUGAAUGUCGAGGUGAGGUGAGGGUACAUAUACCCAGAACAUUCAUAACUCAUCUACUUGUUCACAUCCGUCAGAAGAAAAUCGCACUAGAAAUCGCAAGUGUAAACAUGCCUUUGGAGAGGUCCGAAUAUAGAUAUCUUAUAACACAUCCGUGAAGCAUUCAGGUGGUUGCGUUCAUGGUCAUACUAAUAGGGGGAAGCGGCUUUUAUAUAUUUGUAUUUUAUGUAUGUGUGUAUUUAUAUUUAUGUACGUAUUCGCUGCUUCGGGGUUUGCACCUUGCAUGGGACUUCGCGUCUCGUUUGUGCUUAUGCCAUUUGAGUUCAUAUUAAUUAUACAUAAUAUUAAUUAUAUAUAAUUAUAUAUAAUAUUAAUUAUAUAAUGUAAUGUUCUCAAUAAAUAUAUUUGAAUAAUAUACACUAGAUAGUGCAUCUAAUUAUUCUGCAAUUCAAAAAUUGAAGCCGUG
rnacentral:lncRNA from 1 species